GACGUCGAAUAUCGACGUCAUAAACACCAAACUUGUUCGUGUUUAUGACGUCGAAUAUCGACGUCAUAAACACCAAAGUUGAUCGUGUUUAUGACGCCGAAUAUCGACGUCAUAAACACCAAAUUUGUUCGUGUUUAUGACGUCGAAUAUCGACGUCAUAAACACCAAAGUUGUUCGUGUUUAUGACGUCGAAUAUGGACGUCAUAAACACCAAAGUUGUUCGUGUUUAUGACGUCGAAUAUCGACGUC